rnacentral:rRNA from 1 species
CUAUACAUGCAGUCGAACGAGUUCUGAUUAUUGAAAGGUGCUUGCAUCUUGAUUUAAUUUUGAACGAGUGGCGGACGGGUGAGUAACACGUGGGUAACCUGCCCUUAAGUGGGGGAUAACAUUUGGAAACAGAUGCUAAUACCGCAUAAAUCCAAGAACCGCAUGGUUCUUGGCUGAAAGAUGGCGUAAGCUAUCGCUUUUGGAUGGACCCGCGGCGUAUUAGCUAGUUGGUGAGGUAACGGCUCACCAAGGCAAUGAUACGUAGCCGAACUGAGAGGUUGAUCGGCCACAUUGGGACUGAGACACGGCCCAAACUCCUACGGGAGGCAGCAGUAGGGAAUCUUCCACAAUGGACGCAAGUCUGAUGGAGCAACGCCGCGUGAGUGAAGAAGGCUUUCGGGUCGUAAAACUCUGUUGUUGGAGAAGAAUGGUCGGCAGAGUAACUGUUGUCGGCGUGACGGUAUCCAACCAGAAAGCCACGGCUAACUACGUGCCAGCAGCCGCGGUAAUACGUAGGUGGCAAGCGUUAUCCGGAUUUAUUGGGCGUAAAGCGAGCGCAGGCGGUUUUUUAAGUCUGAUGUGAAAGCCCUCGGCUUAACCGAGGAAGUGCAUCGGAAACUGGAAAACUUGAGUGCAGAAGAGGACAGUGGAACUCCAUGUGUAGCGGUGAAAUGCGUAGAUAUAUGGAAGACACCAGUGGCGAAGGCGGCUGUCUGGUCUGUAACUGACGCUGAGGCUCGAAAGCAUGGGUAGCGAACAGGAUUAGAUACCCUGGUAGUCCAUGCCGUAAACGAUGAAUGCUAGGUGUUGGAGGGUUUCCGCCCUUCAGUGCCGCAGCUAACGCAUUAAGCAUUCCGCCUGGGGAGUACGACCGCAAGGUUGAAACUCAAAGGAAUUGACGGGGGCCCGCACAAGCGGUGGAGCAUGUGGUUUAAUUCGAAGCAACGCGAAGAACCUUACCAGGUCUUGACAUCUUUUGAUCACCUGAGAGAUCAGGUUUCCCCUUCGGGGGCAAAUGACAGGUGGUGCAUGGUUGUCGUCAGCUCGUGUCGUGAGAUGUUUGGGUUAAGUCCCGCAACGAGCG